AAUUGUGGACAAUGGGGGACAACCUGCUCCAGCCACCGUGCGUGGAUGAUGAAGACCUUCGGGUUGUAAAGUAGUUCUGGCAGAGCAGAAAAGGCAUCUCCUAAUACGAGAUACUGCUGACGGUAUCUGCAGACCAAGCACCGCCUAACUACGUGCCAGUAGCCGCGGUAAUACGUAGGGUGCAAGCGUUAAUCGGAAGUACUGGGCGUAAAGCGUGUGUAGGCGGUUCGGAAAGAAAGAUGUGAAGUCCCAGGGCUCAACCAUGGAACUGCAUUUUUAACUGCCGAGCUAGAGUAUGUCAGAGGGAGGUAGAAUUCCACGUGUAGCAGUGAAAUGCGUAGAUAUGUGGAGGAAUGCCGAUGGCGAAGGCAGCCCCCUGGGAUAAUACUGACGCUCAGACACGAAAGCGUGGGGAGCAAACA
rnacentral:rRNA from 1 species